AAGCCAUAUAAAACCAAUCCUACUGUCCAAAGCAGAGAGCAAACCAGUGUAGUGUGAGUAUUUGAUAACUUAUCUCAAUUUCAGCAAGUUGCGAACAUGUAAAGUACAGAUUUCUCAGACACCUCUGUGAUUUUAGGGUGGAGAGCAAACCCUCCCCAACAUUUCAAACAGAUCUUACAGUUACUUGAAAGUGCAGCCUGUGUUAUUUGUAACCAAAGUGUUUCUGUUGUUUCUCUUUCAGGAAAUUCAUGCUUGAAAUCUCUGUAGGCUAAAAAAGCGUACUCGGCCUGGUUAGAAAUCUGAGUUCCCAAGGCAGGCUGAAGAAAGCAAUGCCUUCACGACACAGCAGAAAGCCGUCCUGCCCCGAGGCUCUUCCUGAUGGAGCAGCAUCCCUACCCAUCGCCUGGUGCUCUGCGAGGGCUUCCAAUCGGAUCUGGCGGCUUUGUUCUGCUCGAUAGCGCCGUAAUGGGUCGUUUCUCCGACCUGCGCCGCGUGGGUAACAGAGGGGUCACGAAAGCUCCCACGUUAAGUCACCGGGGAUAGGAAUGA
rnacentral:lncRNA from 1 species